rnacentral:rRNA from 1 species
AGUAGUUGAUCGUGCUACAGGACGACGCUGGCGGCGUGCCUAACACAUGCAAGUCGAGCGGGGACAUGCGACGGAGAUGAAGUUUCGGAUGGAGUUGAAGAUGUAUGUUCUAGCGGCGGACGGGUGAGUAACGCGUGAGCAACCUGUCCUUCACAGGGGGAUAACACAGCGAAAGUUGUACUAAUACCGCAUAAGACCACAGCAGGACAUCCUGCAGGGGUCAAAGGAGCAAUCCGGUGAAGGGUGGGCUCGCGUCCGAUUAGAUAGUUGGUGAGGUAACGGCCCACCAAGUCAACGAUCGGUAGCCGACCUGAGAGGGUGAUCGGCCACAUUGGGACUGAGACACGGCCCAAACUCCUACGGGAGGCAGCAGUGGGGAAUAUUGGGCAAUGGGGGGAAACCCCCUGACCCAGCAACGCCGCGUGAGGGAAGAAGGUUUUCGGAUCGUAAACCUCUGUCCUAUGUGAAGAGUAAGAGACGGUAGCAUAGGAGGAAGCCCCGGCUAACUACGUGCCAGCCGCCGC